rnacentral:rRNA from 1 species
UGGGGAAUCAUGGUCAAUGGGCGAAAGCCUGAACCUGCGACGCCGCGUGAGUGAUGAAGGUCGUAAGAUCGUAAAACUCUUUUCAGGGAUCUUAAAGCCUGUCUGUCAACAACAGGCAGGUCUGACUCUCCCUAGAAGAAGCCCCAGCCAACUACGUGCCAGCAGCUGCGGUAAUACGUAGGGGGCGAGCGUUAUUCGGAAUUACUGGGUGUAAAGGGUAUGUAGGCGGCCCUUCAAGUCGCGUGUCAAAGUCCAGUGCUCAACGCUGGGUGUGCGCGCGAUACUGACGAGCUGGAGGGCUGGAGAGGUGAGCGGAAUUUCCGGUGUAGUGGUAAAAUACGGAGAGAUCGGGAGGAACACCAGCGGCGCAGGCGGCUCACUAGACAGUUUCUGACGCUAAGAUACGAAAGCGUGGGGAGCAAACA